UACGUAGGGUGCGAGCGUUGUCCGGAAUUAUUGGGCGUAAAGGGCUCGUAGGCGGUCUGUUGCGUCAGGAGUGAAAACUCGGGGCUUAACCCCGAGCCUGCUUCUGAUACGGGCAGACUAGAGGUAUGCAGGGGAGAACGGAAUUCCUGGUGUAGCGGUGAAAUGCGCAGAUAUCAGGAGGAACACCGGUGGCGAAGGCGGGUCGCUGGGCCUAACUGA
rnacentral:rRNA from 1 species